GGACCUCAGAUCAGGCAAGAUUACCCGCUGAGUUUA
rnacentral:rRNA from 1 species